rnacentral:rRNA from 1 species
UACAGAGGGUGCGAGCGUUGUCCGGAAUUACUGGGCGUAAAGGGCUCGUAGGCGGCCAACUAAGUCCGACGUGAAAUCCCCAGGCUUAACCUGGGAACUGCAUCCGAUACUGGAUGGCUUGAAUCCGGGAGAGGGAUGCAGAAUUCCAGGUGUAGCGGUGAAAUGCGUAGAUAUCCGGAGGAACACCGGUGGCGAAGGCGGCUUCCUGGACCGACACUGACGCUGAGGCGCGGAAAGCUAGGGGAGCAAACGGG